CCGGAACACAAGCGGAAAUGUAGGUUAGAUGGACUUACAGCAAACUGAAAAACUGUCUGCCCAAAGAGUAAUUCAGGCUGCUGCAGAAACCAGAAAGGUACAUGCUUGAAAGGAAUGAAACAGCUACUUAUGUUUUUCUUGAAAUUGAUGGAAGACAGAGAAAAUAUAUAGGCA